rnacentral:rRNA from 1 species
UACGUAGGGUGCAAGCGUUAAUCGGAAUUACUGGGCGUAAAGCGUGCGCAGGCGGUUGUGCAAGACCGAUGUGAAAUCCCCGGGCUUAACCUGGGAAUGGCAUUGGUGACUGCACGGCUAGAGUGUGUCAGAGGGGGGGUAGAAUUCCACGUGUAGCAGUGAAAUGCGUAGAGAUGUGGAGGAAUACCGAUGGCGAAGGCAGCCCCCUGGGAUAACACUGACGCUCAUGCAACGAAAGCGUGGGGGAGCAAACAGG